rnacentral:lncRNA from 1 species
GAGAACUCGUCAGACCCUAUUGUCAGUCAUAUGUAAGAUUGGCUCGACUCGAGUUCAUUUGUGAAUCCUGUGGAAACUCUUUUUCAGUAUUCACACUUGCUUUGGCCAAAGACUUUCUGAACUCGAUCUCAUAAAUCGCAUAAAACUUCUCUUUUUCUAUCAAGAUCAAUAGAUUCCAUCUAGAUGCAUCCUACUCUAAACAGCGAACCUAAACUUACUGAAGCCAACAUACACAGCAAGAAUCCGAAUGGCUAGAGACCAAGAGAACGUGUAGUCGAAUCCAGUAGCCUCGCUGAGAAUAGCCAAUGACACUGCAGAUUAAAGGACCACUCACACCACUGU